UAUUUACUCCCUCCGUUCGGAAUUACUUGUCGUAGAAAUGGAUGUAUCUAGAUGUAUUUUAGUUCUAGAUACAUCCAUUUUCGAGACAAGUAAUUCCGAACGGAGGGAGUAUACG
rnacentral:pre_miRNA from 1 species